UCUCCCCGCCCGCCGGCCCCUCCAGCCUCCUCCAAGGCGGCGGACCAGGCCGGGCCGGAGUUUUCGGGGUUCAGCCCGCGAGCGGGAGGACCGGGGAGGCGAGGGAGGAGGAAGGCGAGAAGGGCCAGAUCGCGGGAGAGCCCAAUCACGGGGCGAGCUGGACCUGGCUGUGAUCAUUUAUAAUCCUUGACUCCUCCGCUCCGCCACUUGUCAAGAUGACAGGGGUCAUCCGUGAAUAACACUUCACGCUGAUGAAUGGCUCUUGCCGGCUUUCGGCUCUGAUGAGGGGUCUGCCCGCCGCCGAUUGAAAACACUAAUGAACUUACUGCGCCAUUUGAAAUUCACACGCACCAACAAAAUGGGGGGUGGGCAUUUCAGGUCAGCUGAGUCACCCGAGGAGGUGGCAGUGCAAGACACUGCCGGGAAGACGGAUUCCGAGGCAGAAGGGUGUAAUUAAGGAUUUCCACCCCCGGUAGGCGGCCCGUCCUUUGCAGAGCCUCUGAAAAUGACCCGCGCCUUCCUUUCCACAGUGUUCUUUCGUCCGAGACCGAAAAGCGCAAAUGACCUUUGGACAGGGAAGGGAGGCAGUAAACACUCAGACUUCCUUACCAGCCCCUGGUGGGCACUGCAGCAGAACAAUUGUCUGCCCCCCAGGUUCAAGCACCUAGGCCUCCGCCCCGCAUCACCUGGCCAGGGGCGGACCCGGGAGUCCUCCGAAGGCUCCACUCCCCACUUUUACUACUCUUCUUUCCUCUCCAUUCUCCCCUCAGAUUAGCGGCCGGACACUGUCCCUGCCUCGAUUUUGUUUGCUGUGGGAGGGAAAAAAAAAGUUUGCUGCUCCUCCCAAGACACUGGCCACUUUCUACUCACUGAAGUUCCCACCGCAGCGCUGGCUCCCGGCUCCCUAGCUCCCGCCCCCUGUCUGCAGGAAAGCCCUCCCCCGGAGCUUCCGAAACUGCUGGAGGUUCCAGAGUUUUGUAGCUCCGAAUGGGCGACCUGAGCCGAACCGCUCUCUGGCUGGGUGGUCGGCGGGAUCCUUCAGGCUCCUUUCGGGUCCGGGACGGGGCGGCGGCAGAGGUGGGGCGUGCGUGCUUGGGGCUGCCGAGUGAGUGCGGCUCCCUGGUGCGCGCCCGAGCAUCUCCCCGCCCUCUCCUGGGACCAGCAGUCUGCCCGUGGAGGGCUAGGAGCCCGCGACCAGGCCUGCCCCGGCCGUCGCCAACCUGUCCUUGGAAGCGUGGCGGAGACUGGUGCGCUCUCAGCCUCGUCGCGCCAGCCGCCUCGCGCCACCCUCCACUUUCAGCUUCAGAGCAGAGGAUUCCGCCGACCUCCACCUGUACCUGUACUCGGCCGUUAGGAAAUCCACUUGCAUUUUUAACUACCGUGCAGAACCAGAAACAGAUCGAGCACUGGGAGAACAAGGACGACGCCUCCUAGGAAAGCCUGAACCUUUAUGUUAGUUUAUCCAAAGUUUGGGCUAGAAGUGAGGAGAAUCCCUAAACUCGAGGUGGUGUGCCCAGACCCACAGCCCGUGUUCCCGAAGUUGCUAAGUGCCCGAGCGCAGCGCGUUAAGUAGAGAAGUCUUGGUAGUAAGCGAACCCGACCCGGCUCUCGGGGCGCUAGUGACGGAAAGCAGCACGCAUAUCUUUGCGGGAAGAAUCUAGAGUCGCCCUGGGAUAGAUCCAUCUCCUUCUGCCACUGAAUUUCACACUUGAAAAAGAUAAGGUCAUGGGGGCGGAUGAAUGAUAUCCCUCACUCAUUUAGCCAUUCUUAUUAUUAUAUAAAAAAAAGGCUUGUCAAUUAUGAAGGUGUGUCCCAGAUAUUACAUGAAGAUCAUGCAAACUACUUGAAAUUUGAAUCCGGACAUGAUCGUAAGGAAACUCUUUCAUAAAGCACUUUUGUGGCCUAGUUCCCACACACACACAAAAGUAUUAGGUCUUUAAAACUUUUCCAAGUAGUAAGUGAGACUCCCUCUUACUGUCUACGAAUACACAAUAAAGAGAUGAGACACUGCCCCAAUCCUAAAGAGGCCAGAACUGAAGUGCUACAUUGUGUGAGUUAGGGGAUGCUUCUUUUUUCCAGCUCUUUUUUCUAGAAUCCUCAUUACAGCUAACGCUGGUAAUAAAGGUAGGAAAACAAUAGAACUCAUAAAACUUAGAAAUGGUAAUAAAUCUUGGCUCCUGUCUCUAGCCCAGUUCCUUCUUACAUGAGAUUCAAAGUUUUUCAGUAUGCAAUGCUGAACGUUCACACUAUGGUUGCAAAA
ensembl:lncRNA TENM3-AS1 TENM3 antisense RNA 1